UCUCCGUUGGUGAACCAGCGGAGGGAUCAUUGCUGGAACUGUGUCCGCAAGGACACAACCCCAGAUACCCUUUGUGAACUUAUUCUUAUAUCGUUGCCUCGGCGCUGAGCUGGGGGCUUCUAUAAGCCCCCCCUUACCUCGGUGAGGAGCAGGCCCGCCGGCGGCCCUAUAAACUCUUGUUUUAACGUAUCUCUUCUGAGUACAAAUUAUAAAUGAAUCAAAACUUUCAACAACGGAUCUCUUGGUUCUGGCAUCGAUGAAGAACGCAGC
rnacentral:misc_RNA from 1 species